UGGAACGUGUGUGUAGCAGUGGCAGUCUGUGAAUUGAAACAUUCUCCAUUUUCCCAAAAAUUCUGCUGUAUCAAAUCUUUCCUCUUCCCCAAAAAUUCUGCAGUAUCAAAUCUUAUAUUUUGUCUCUAAAUCUUGGCAAUUCAGCCUAUAAGCAACCUCCCUCCACCUCCAUUUAAGUAUACCCUUCAACCACAAAUAUUUUCCAUCCACAUGCUCCCAUCUCUGCAGCUGCGAAGCAGUUCCUUUCAGACCAUAUUCAGCAAAUCAAGAAAAGCCUAAACAAACACAGCAACAUAUUUAAGAAGAACUCUGCACCAGGCCUUGAGGACCAGGAGGAUUAGCACUGCUUUCCCGUGACAGGUUUACGAUUAAACUACAGGCUUUGCCUAUUCAGGUUGAUCGGUUGAUGCAGACGGGGCUGAGUUGAGCUGGGCACCACAUUGUCUUUUGCUUCCGCUAAUGACUAGCUUGUCAUCUCGUCUUUUAAAUUCCCUAAACUGAGAAUUUCUAUUAUAUGGUACAAUUGUUGGGUUUAGACUCUUAACCCAUACUCCUAUUAAUGAAGCUAUCAUUGAAUA